rnacentral:rRNA from 1 species
ACGAGAUGCGUAUUGGAAAGCUUCGGCCGGAAGAUACGUUAUCUAGUGGCGGACGGGUGAGUAACACGUGGGUAACCUGCCUUAUGGAGGGGGAUAACAGAGAGAAAUCACUGCUAAUACCGCAUAAGCACACAGUACCGCAUGGUACAGGGUGAAAAGAUUUAUCGCCAUAAGAUGGACCCGCGUCUGAUUAGCCAGUUGGCAGGGUAAAAGCCUACCAAAGCAACGAUCAGUAGCCGAUCUGAGAGGAUGACCGGCCACAUUGGGACUGAGACACGGCCCAAACUCCUACGGGAGGCAGCAGUGGGGAAUAUUGCACAAUGGGGGAAACCCUGAUGCAGCGACGCCGCGUGAGUGAAGAAGUAUUUCGGUAUGUAAAGCUCUAUCAGCAGGGAAGAUAAUGACAGUACCUGACUAAGAAGCCCCGGCUAACUACGUGCCAGCAGCCGCGGUAAUACGUAGGGGGCAAGCGUUAUCCGGAUUUACUGGGUGUAAAGGGAGCGUAGACGGAAUGGCAAGUCUGAAGUGAAAUACCCGGGCUCAACCUGGGAACUGCUUUGGAAACUGUUGUUCUAGAGUGUUGGAGAGGUAAGUGGAAUUCCUGGUGUAGCGGUGAAAUGCGUA